UACUCCUACGGGGAGGCAGCAGUGGGGAAUAUUGCACAAUGGGCGCAAGCCUGAUGCAGCCAUGCCGCGUGUAUGAAGAAGGCCUUCGGGUUGUAAAGUACUUUCAGCGGGGAGGAAGGCGACAGGGUUAAUAACCCUGUCGAUUGACGUUACCCGCAGAAGAAGCACCGGCUAACUCCGUGCCAGCAGCCGCGGUAAUACGGAGGGUGCAAGCGUUAAUCGGAAUUACUGGGCGUAAAGCGCACGCAGGCGGUCUGUCAAGUCGGAUGUGAAAUCCCCGGGCUCAACCUGGGAACUGCAUUCGAAACUGGCAGGCUAGAGUCUUGUAGAGGGGGGUAGAAUUCCAGGUGUAGCGGUGAAAUGCGUAGAGAUCUGGAGGAAUACCGGUGGCGAAGGCGGCCCCCUGGACAAAGACUGACGCUC
rnacentral:rRNA from 1 species